AUGUUGAAUAUACACAAUUCUAUUUAUUUUGUCCCCUUAGGCAAGCUCUCAUUUUCAUCUGUAACUACUGAAAAAUCACUGACAAAACCUGGAGUUGUUAAACCAGUCACUGCAACAUCCAGAUUUACAGAUGAAGAAAUCCACCAUAAUCCUUUCAUGAACCUUCAAGGCAACAAAUCUAAUUGUUACCAAUACAAGUUUGUCAGCAGUGUGCUCUGUGGUGAAAUCCAAGCAGAUGGUAGAGGUGCUUCAGACCGGCAGCCAGCUUGUGGAGAGGGGCUUCCUUCAGAGCGACAAGGAGACUGUAAGACAAGACUGGCAUCUCUGAUCACACAGACCAGGAUCUGCACAGAAAAUGUUCCCACCGCCAUGAAGCCCCAUUCAUUCAGUAAUAAAUUUAUGCCAUGUUCAAGACACUUAUCUGUACUGAUUGAACUCAGAAAUGCAAAUCAAAAAAAUUCAAAACAUAACAUCGUCUAUAAUAAUAUUCAUGUCUAGAUUCUGUGGGUUUUGACAUCCAUCUCUUAUGGCUUCUUUCUCCAAGAACUCACUCUAAAAUACACUUCCUUGCAAAAACCCCAAAGAUAUUUCAUGUCUGGUCUUUUUUACCUCACAAUCAUUUUUCAUUUAGAGCACAAAAUAGGUCUGAUAUUUGAUUACUUAUAUAGCCAUUUACUGCAGAUAUGCAGUUCUGUCAAAAGCUGCAUUAAUGGUGCCUGAAAAAAAAAAAAAAAAAAAAAAAUCAAUACUGGACCAGUCAAUACUUGUCUGUGUGAUUCUGAUACUCUGUUAAUAUAAUAUAAUAUAAUAUAAUAUAAUAUAAUAUAAUAUAAUAUAAUAUAAUAUAAUAUAAUAUAAUAUAAUAUAAUAUAAUAUAAUAUAAUAUAAUAUUCUCCCCACAGAUCUUUUUUUGUUUAUCAAUAUUUCUGGGUUGUCUUGAUAGCACAGCUUUCUUUAGUUUAUGCCACAGCAUCACAUUUGUAUGGUGGCCGAGAGAGCUCAACGUGUUGCAAAAAAAAAAAAAAAAAAAAAAAAAAAAAACCAUCUUUAUCAGUUUACUCCUUAUGUACUUUGGAUAAUUGUCUUGUUGCAUCACACAACCUCUGUAAAGCUUGAAGUCAUGAACUUCAGUCCCAACAAUCUCUUGUAAAAUGUCUUUAUAUAUUUUAUAAUUCCUUGUUCCUUCAAUGACUAAAAAAAGUAUCCAGACCCUGAGGCUGCAAAGCAACACAGAUGGGAAGAGGUUGUGGUAUGGUGUUGUGACAAUGUCAAAAUAAAUUAAUUAAAUUACAAUGAAUUGUUCA
ensembl:lncRNA